rnacentral:lncRNA from 1 species
CGCAUACAUGUUUAGUAACUUGCUCUCUUGGACAGAGCAUGAUUGGCUGGUACACUAUUGCAAAUAUAUGACUCAGAUAUGAUGAUCACAAACACACUGUAUUCCCUUGUAGUCUUAGUGUCUACACUAGAGUACUGAUCUCUCACUGACCCUGCUUUCACCUCUCAAAUCUGCAGGCUCUGUUAGACAAGUUCUGUGGUGGAGGAUCAUUUUCACCAUCUAUGCAUUCUGACUCAACUAGGCAAGUGUUAAACAAGAUGGUGUACGGAAUGCAGUGUCCAACCCAGACAAGUGUUUGGGAAACUGCUUCUCCUCCUGACACCUAGAGCCUGCUCAUGGGACAGGACAGCAACAGGCACCCAGGAUAGAGAAUCCCUUCAGACAGCAAUUCAUCAAGAGACCCAUUGAGUUCAUUCUCAGAUGCCUUGCAACAUCUUGAAACACGUACCCAGAUUAUUCCUGACAUAGGGAUGUGCACACUCAGCAUUCGUGACGCUGAUUGAGCAGUCUGGGUUGUUUGAGAAUUUCCAUGGGAUCUUCCAGUCAUCAACUCAAAUGAAUGCAAUGCAGUCCCACUACUAGAAGCUAUGCCUGCCUACCAGAAAUGGCCAGGUGUUCCUAAUAACAUCCCUGAAAAUGACACUCCAGGAUCCUUGCAGCAUGCUGAGAAAUGAGCUCCCUUUGCUUGUCCAACGGACAUUUGUUUUUUGUGGCGUUCUUGUGGAUGACACAGAUAGAUUACAGUUUCCAAGUUGGACAACUCACAACUACCCCAAAAGGUCGGUAUGUGUCACAUAGUGACCA